GACGAACGCUGGCGGCGUGCUUAACACAUGCAAGUCGAACGGAAAGGCCCUUCGGGGUACUCGAGUGGCGAACGGGUGAGUAACACGUGGGUGAUCUGCCCUGCACUUUGGGAUAAGCCUGGGAAACUGGGUCUAAUACCGAAUAGGACCACGCGCUUCAUGGUGUGUGGUGGAAAGCUUUUGCGGUGUGAGAUGGGCCCGCGGCCUAUCAGCUUGUUGGUGGGGUAAUGGCCUACCAAGGCGACGACGGGUAGCCGGCCUGAGAGGGUGACCGGCCACACUGGGACUGAGAUACGGCCCAGACUCCUACGGGAGGCAGCAGUGGGGAAUAUUGCACAAUGGGCGCAAGCCUGAUGCAGCGACGCCGCGUGAGGGAUGACGGCCUUCGGGUUGUAAACCUCUUUCAAUAGGGACGAAGCGCAAGUGACGGUACCUAUAGAAGAAGCACCGGCCAACUACGUG
rnacentral:rRNA from 1 species